UGAAAAAUAUUAAAUUUUAAAUUAAAAACCGCAUUCUUAAAAUUGCGACUGAUUUUAGAGGAAAAGAAAAGAGAAGAAAAGGAAAAAACAUUCGUGUGUGUGUGUGUGUGUGUGUGUGUGUUGGGGGGGUCUUGGAGAGUGAUGUAUGCACCAAUCGAUAGUAGACUACAUUAUCCUGAUCAAUGAGUUUAAGCUGAAAGGAGAGUUUAAAGACACAAUUCCAGCCACACUUCAGAUCGGCUAAGUAGACUAACUUAAUAGAUCCAUUGAUCGCUAAUUGACGGUUUGUGGAAGUUUGAUGAUAGUUUUCUUUUAACGUAGUGUAAACGACCCACAAACAAAAACAUUCAACACCGUUCAGUAUAUUCUCAUAUCAAUCAGCAGUGCUCUCAAAUAAAGAGUAAAAGUAUUAAUACGCUGAAAAAAAUGGUUACAAAAAUGUGCUACAUCAAGAAAAUUGCUAUUGAGCAAUUAUUGCUUUGAUGUAAGGUAUUUUAUACAUAUACAUAUUCAUAUAUAUAUAUAUAUAUAUAUAUAUAUAUAUAUAUGAGAUAUUUUCCAGUCACUGUACCUGAGUUUGGCCUGUAUGUCAAAGAGUUGAAUCCAAAAUAGCACAGAUAAGGCACUGUUUGCUUUUCCCAAAGUCAGUUAAUUCAAAUUUAGCAACCUUUGCUCAAUGCAAAUACACACAGACUGACUGAGCCUUCCGGCCUUUAGCAUUCCUGUGUUUAAAAGAGCAGAUCACACUGCGCUGCGGAGUUCAGGCUCAGCACUGACCAGCCAUGACACAUCGGAGGAAAAGCGUUAAAAUUCAGAGAGAGAGGAAAAACACAGAGGGAGGAGUUUUACAGGAAAACAACCUCCCAGCAGCGAUAAAAGAACACGGAGGACACGCGGGCCUGAUGGACUCUUACAGGCUGAUGGUUCAGCAUGAAUAAUGAAUGAG